AGUUGUUAUCCGAGGGGAAUGUUUGUCUUGAAAACAGAUUUUUGAGUGUUCGACUCACUCAACAACUU
rnacentral:tRNA from 1 species